rnacentral:rRNA from 1 species
AGGAUGAACGCUGGCGGCGUGCUUAACACAUGCAAGUCGAACGAUGAAGGCUGGAGCUUGCUCUGGCUGGAUUAGUGGCGAACGGGUGAGUAACACGUGAGUAACCUGCCCCAGACUCUGGGAUAAGCGCUGGAAACGGCGUCUAAUACCGGAUACGAGCUUCCACCGCAUGGUGAGGAGCUGGAAAGAAUUUCGGUCUGGGAUGGACUCGCGGCCUAUCAGCUUGUUGGUGAGGUAAUGGCUCACCAAGGCGACGACGGGUAGCCGGCCUGAGAGGGUGACCGGGCCAACGACGUCGGGAACUGGAGACACGGCCCAGACUCCUACGGGAGCAGCAGUGGGAAUAGUUGACACAAGUGGGCGCAAGCCUGAUGCAGCAACGCCGCGUGAGGACGAAGGCCUU